AGUCACUGACAUUAGAUACCCGCGUAGUCCCAGCCGUAAACAAUGUGCGUUAGGUGUGUCGGUAACCACGCGUUACUGAUGCGCCGAAGAGAAAUCGCGAAACGCACCACCUGGGAAGUACGGUCGCAAGGCUGAAACUUAAAGGAAUUGGCGGGGAGCACCACAACAGGGUGGAGCCUGCGGUUUAAUUGGAUUCAACGCCGGACAUCUCACCGGAUAAGACAGCUGAAUGAUUGUCAAUCUGAAGGUUUUACAUGACUAGUCUG
rnacentral:rRNA from 1 species